CUUAACACAUGCAAGUCGAGCGAUGAAACUACUUCGGUAGUGAAUUAGCGGCGAACGGGUGAGGAACACGUGAGGAAUCUGCCUUCUACACUGGGAUAACUCCGGGAAACCGGGGCUAAUACCGGAUAUGAAACUUGGUGGCAUCACCGAGUUUGGAAAGUUUUUCGGUAGAAGAUGACCUCGCGGCCUAUCAGCUUGUUGGUGAGGUAAUGGCUCACCAAGGCGACGACGGGUAGCCGGCCUGAGAGGGCGACCGGCCACACUGGGACUGAGACACGGCCCAGACUCCUACGGGAGGCAGCAGUGGGGAAUAUUGGGCAAUGGAGGAAACUCUGACCCAGCGACGCCGCGUGCGGGAUGAAGGCCUUCGGGUUGUAAACCGCUUUCAGUAGGGAAGAAGCGAAAGUGACGGUACCUACAGAAGAAGCACCGGCUAACUAUGUGCCAGCAGCCGCGGUAAUACAUAGGGUGCAAGCGUUGUCCGGAAUUAUUGGGCGUAAAGAGCUCGUAGGUGGUUCGUUACGUCGGAUGUGAAAAUCUGGGGCUCAACCCCAGACCUGCAUCCGAUACGGUCGAGCUAGAGUUUGGUAGGGGAGACUGGAAUUCCUGGUGUAGCGGUGGAAUGCGCAGAUAUCAGGAGGAACACCAAUGGCGAAGGCAGGUCUCUGGGCCAAUACUGACACUGAGGAGCGAAGGCGUGGGGAGCGAACAGGAUUAGAUACCCUGGUAGUCCACGCCGUAAACGGUGGGCGCUAGUUGUGGGAACCUUCCACGGUUUCUGCGACGCAGCUAACGCAUUAAGCGCCCCGCCUGGGGAGUACGAUCGCAAGAUUAAAACUCAAAGGAAUUGACGGGGCCCCGCACAAGCAGCGGAGCAUGCGGCUUAAUUCGACGCAACGCGAAGAACCUUACCAAGGCUUGACAUAUACAGGAAUAUGGCAGAGAUGUCAUAGCGGUAAAACGUCUGUAUACAGGUGGUGCAUGGUUGUCGUCAGCUCGUGUCGUGAGAUGUUGGG
rnacentral:rRNA from 1 species